rnacentral:lncRNA from 1 species
CUAGGCCCACAGUAGGCCCCGGGCACAUUUUCAGCUGCGAAGCGGAGGAAUAACAACUGAUGAGGUAGAAGGAGAACCAAGAGACGGUGAGAGAAUGGGAACUGAGCUGAGAGAGCUUCUGGAAAGUUGCGGUGGUCUACGGCGAUUCAUGUUAUUGAGAAACGGCGUUAGGCUGAUUUCAUGGGGCAGAUGACAUGGAAGAGCUGCUGAGGAAGAUGCUGAGCUCCUGAGGUGAAAAGGGAUGAGGACGCCUAAGAAGACACAAGCACAAUACCUAAUACAACUUCCUGAAAUUGUUUCAUGUCACACGUUAAAAUAAUAUGAAACACAUU